rnacentral:sRNA from 1 species
ACCGGGCGUGGUGGUGCACGCCUGUAAUCCCAGUGACUCAGGAGGCUGAGGCAGGAGAAUCAUGAGUUCAAAGCCAGCCUCAG